ACACUUACCUGGUGCCGGGGCCUCGUUGAUCACCGAGAACGAGCCCACAGGGCUAGGACCGGACAUUGCACUGCGCUCUCGUUGACCCCUGGCACUACCCCAAACUGGGGCAGACGGGGCAUACAAAUUGCUUAAAUCCGGUUCAACGCAAGAGAGGGUGCCACCGCC
rnacentral:snRNA from 1 species